rnacentral:lncRNA from 1 species
CAUACACACUGUGUACUGUAUUGAAGCCACAUUUUAAGGGUUUUUCAAGCAUCUUGGACUCUAUGGUUUUCCACCUGCAGUGCUCACUUUAGAAUCUGAGCAUCAUGAAAGGGGAAACUCCACUGCAUGCCCAAAGUUCUGGAAUCCAGGAGUUUGUUCAUUCAACACAUCUGCGUUAUUAGUACCUGCGACUGGGGCUGAAGACACAGAGAGGACCAAAACAUGGGUCCUGGCAUGGAAGAAAUCAAAAGUCCUCCAUAAACCCUGGCUGGGCUCACUUCAUCUCACUGAAUGCUCCGAGCAGGUCCGGGAGGGAGGACUGAUUAGAAAGGAGCCGCGCCCUGUCCUUGGUCACCUUACCCCUGAAGAGCGUCGAUGAGAUUCAAACCCAAACUUUUCUGACCCCAAAGGCAGACUAUUUUGACCCUUUCUGCUCGUGCACAUUAAAAGCUAAAAUACCAAAGAGAAAGUGAAAACGGCUCAAAAAGAGUUCAGGGGCUGAGGGCUUUUAGCUCCUGCUCUGUGGACCAGGGAGGAGGUGAUAUUUGAGCUAGGCCUUGACGAACAUGCAAAAGUAGUCAUUUCCCACAGGAAAAGGCGUGCCUAGUGGCAGCAGCAGGGGACACUGGCCAGCCUCCAUUCCCCUUUUUGCUUGGACCCCAGAAUCCUAAUCCUCUGGGGAUCUGCCUCCCUUCCAUUCUCAGCCCGUGUGGUUUGUGUGGGGUCGACCCCAACCCUGACCACCAGGGAUUAUUUCCGUGGGUUUUAAGGGUGGGCACAUGAUUCUACCUGAGCCAAGGACACUUAGUCCCAUGACUCUUUGGGGCUGCUGGGAAGAGAUUUUGCUCCACCACAGAUGCUCAAAGGAUAGGACAUGCUCUUGCGGCUGCUGGGAAGAGAUUUUGCUCCACCAGAGACACUCAAAGGAUAGGACAUGCUCUUGGGGCUGCUGGCAGCCACCUGGAUACCAUGUGGAAGCAAGCCUGCUUUAGAAUGAAACUGUGAGAAAGGAGAGCCAGACAGAGAGGCAAGGAGGUGAGGCCCAAGAGCUGAUGACACAGUUGGAGCUCCUAGAUCCAGCCAUGCCUGCGACCAGCCCAUUCCUUGGAUAGAUCUACUGCUGCAUUUGCUGACAUGGAGAGACUCUCACCUGAUAUUUUACGGUAAUUCUGCCACGUGGAUUUUUCAACUGACUUAUGAAGCAUCUAUCCAGAAAGAAAGCAGCAGGGCAGAAGAUUAUGAUCAGGAACAGUCUGAACACACUCGAGACCCAUAAUAGCAAAUAGCAAUGAAUGAAAGUUCCUGUUCCUAUUGCUCCACAUUCUCACCAGCAUUGGGUGUUGUCAGUGUUCUGGAUUUUGGCCAUGCUAACAGGUGUGUAGUAGUGUCUCACUGUUAUAAUUCACAUUUCUCUGAUGACUUACAAUGUGUAACAUCUUUUCACAUACUUACAAUAUGCCAUCUGUAUAUCCUUCUUUGGUGAGAUGUCUGUUAAGGUCUAUGCCUUAUUUUUAAAAAUCAGGUUAAGCUAAUUGUUUUUUUUCUUACUGUUGAGAUUCAAGAGUUCUUUGUAUGUCUUUUGCAUACAUUUUCUCUAGUCUGUGGCUUGUUUUUU